rnacentral:rRNA from 1 species
CCUACGGGUGACAGCAGUGAGGAAUAUUGGUCAAUGGGCGCGAGCCUGAACCAGCCAAGUCGCGUGAGGGAAGAAGUAUUUCGGUAUGUAAAGCUCUUUCAGCAGGGAAGAAAGCAAUGACGGUACCUGACCAAGAAGCCCCGGCUAACUACGUGCCAGCAGCCGCGGUAAUACGUAGGGGGCAAGCGUUAUCCGGAAUUACUGGGUGUAAGGGGAGCGUAGACGGCUGUGCAAGUCUGGAGUGAAAGGCGGGGGCCCAACCCCCGGACUGCUCUGGAAACUGUAUGGCUGGAGUGCAGGAGAGGUAAGCGGAAUUCCUAGUGUAGCGGUGAAAUGCGUAGAUAUUAGGAGGAACACCAGUGGCGAAGGCGGCUUACUGGACUGUAACUGACGUUGAGGCUCGAAAGCGUGGGGAGCAAACAGGAUUAGAUACCCCGGUAGUC